UACAGCGGGUGCGAGCGUUAAUCGGAAUUACUGGGCGUAAAGCGUGCGUAGACGGUUUUGUAAGUCGGAUGUGGAAUCCCCGGGCUCAACCUGGGAAUUGCAUUCGAGACUGCAAGGCUUGGGUGCGGAAGAGGGAAGCGGAAUUUCCGGUGUAGCGGUGAAAUGCGUAGAUAUCGGAAGGAACAUCAGUGGCGAAAGCGGCUUCCUGGUCCAGCACCGACGUUCAGGCACGAAAGCGUGGGGAGCAAACAGG
rnacentral:rRNA from 1 species